AUGUUAGCAAUAAAAUAUAAUUCAUGUUCUAAAAAAUUAUCAUCAGUGUUAGCAAAGGCAUCACCUGUGGGGGUGGCGCCCUACAAGGGCGGGCCGCCGCGCAUGCGCCCCAAGAUCACGCAGGAGGCCGUCCCCUCGCGCACGUCGGCGGCCCCCACAGGCCCACUUAGGCGCUGCACGCCCUCUCAGCAAUGGUCACCGGCCCACUGCACACGACUUCCCCCUGGAGCUGCAGCUCCCCAGCAGGACUACCCCGACCCUGGGUCCCGAGGAACUGCUGAGCAGCGAGGACUGUCACCCUGCCCUGCCCUGCCGCUUCCCUCCGGGCUUCCAUGGGCACCCGGGCCCAACUACCCACCCUUCCUGCCCGACCAGAUGCAGCCGCAGGCCCCGCCGCUCUCUCACCAAGAGCUCCUGCCACUGGUCCCUGAGGGCUGGAGGAGCCAACGAGGGGAAGAAGAUCGUGGCCCGGAAAAGAACCACCACCCACACCUGUGAUUACCCGGGCUGCAGCAAAACCUACACACAGAGGCCUCCUCUUAAGGCACACCUGAGAACCCACACAGGUGUGAAACCCUACCACUGUGACUGGGACGGCUGUGGGUGGGAAUUUGCCCGCUCGGAUGGACUGACCAGGCGCUACUGCAAACACGCGGGGCACCCACAGACCCUCCAGUGCCAGAAGUGCGACCGAGCAUUUUCUAGGUCCAGACCACCUGGCCUUACCCAUGCAGAGGCACUUAUAAGUUUCAAACAGUGAGUAUGACCCACACUGCCAGAAGAGAAUGCAGUAUUUUUUUUUUACCUUUCACACUGUCUUCCUGAUGAGGGGAAGAGCCCAGCUGGAAGCACUACAAUCAUGGUCAAGUUCCCAAUUGAGUCCACUUGUGAAUGAAUAAUCAGGAACAAUGAUUAAUCCAAAAGUCAAAAAUCAAAGAACAGAUGGGGUAUGUGACUGGAUCUUCUAUCAUUCCAAUUCUAAAUCCAACUUGAAUAUUCCUAGACUUACAAAACGCCGAGGGGGUGACUGGAAGUUAUCGAUAUCAGGGUAUAAAUUAGAUACCUGAGUUGGGGGAGGGAAGACCAGAAUUCCCUUGAAUUGUGUUUUGAUGAAAUAUAAGCAUAAAGAUCACCUUGCAUUCUCUUUGCCUUCUAAAAGUCAUUAUUAUGAUGUUAGAAGAAAUUCAGGUACUGAAAAUGUGUUUUAAUAGCCUAAAUGAUGGUGCUUGGUGAGUCUUGGUUCUAAAAGUACCAAACGAGGAAGCCAAAGUUCUCAAACUGCUGCAUACUUUGACAAGGAAAAUCUAUUUCUGUCUU